CUGAGCCAUUUCUCCAGCCCCCAUAAUUCUAUUUCUAAAGUGUCCUUUUCUUUCGAAAUAUACUUACAUAAAGUGUGGCCUUAACCAAAAAUUUUAAAUCUUGUUCUUCAGCAUUAGUUAUAUUCAAUUACUAUUGUCUUACAUUCAUGAUGUUCUAUCGUUAUUCUUCUGUUAUUCUUCUCUCAUUCAUUACAUCUCAAUUCCCUCCACCAAUUCCAUGCAGCUCUCCCAAUUAUCUCUCCUCUCACCCAGAUCCACACCUUUUCCCAUUAUGUUCAAAAGAGAGAGGGGGAGGAAAGGGACAGGGUAUAGGGAAAGGGGAAAGGGAAAGGGUGAGAGAGGUUACACAAGGAUGUGUCAACCAAACACCAUAAGUUAGCAUCAAAAGUUACGGUAAGACAAAACUGCUUAUUAAGACUGGCCGAAGAAACCAUCAGAGAUUUAAUUACUUCUGGAUGAAGUAAUUGAAAGUAUGCAUUAGGAUGGAUGGUAUAUUUACUUGUUAAAAAUUAUUUUUAAAACUCAUUUGUAAAUUAUUCUGAUGAGUGGAUUUAGAACCACAGCAAUUCGUAAAAGAUGCUGUCUAGAAAAUCCGACUGAUAUAAAACCACAUUAAAGCUGAGAAAGUCCUUUUCCUUUCUGUAUCCUCAACAACAGCAUGUAUCCGAUUGCAGCAAACUGAUCCAGUAAAUAGAAGGUCUACAGGAAAUGAGUUAUAAAAGCGCUGCGCAGUGUGUUGCCCCUCUCUUUCAGACCCUGGCUUCUGGCAAGAGAAAAUAUGGUGAAACUACAAAGACCAGAAAUCCUUUCGGUUUUCAACUUCCCUUGGAGCCAAGCCUGGGAGUGACACCCACUUCAUUCAAUUCCUGUGGUCGUGGGAACACUGGAAAGUGGUUUGUUUUCCCUUUUGUUACAUUCAGGAUUUCUUUGAUUGAAUCUUGUCUUCGCAAUAAUUACUGAUAAUACAAGUCUCGCCUUUAUUUUUUCCGUUAAUCUUGGAAUGCGGCUAAAAGAAGGAAGUGAACGAUUCAGAAUUAAUUGAGGGAUUACAGAAGUCACGAUUCAAUUCAAGACAUCGGGUCGAACACUACAAUCUUUGAAACAUUUGCAGUCGAGAAUUGGAGGGCAGUUAAUAAAUAUGCAAUUUCAUUCUUUUAUCUGCGGCCAUUCCCAUUGAUCAGAAUCAUUUAUUAAAAUUUUUAAAUUUUAUUAAACUAACAGAUAUCACUGUGGGAUUAUAUUGGCUACAUUUCUAAGGAAAAGUGACCCUCGUGCAUCAGGCAGUCAUCAGUGCUAAGGGAGCCCAGCUUUAUAAACUACAGUUGAAUUUGUUUCUGAAUGGGCGGGGAAGGAUUUCAUCUGGAAGCAAUGGGAAGAAAAGGGACUAAAUUUUUCAAAGAAGAAAAAGUAGAUGAAAGUUACCAUGUUGUGACCUGUAAUUUCACAUUGGGAGAGAUAAACGUGGAGUACUUCUCUGAGGACACUUUGGAUUACACUAAUUAGAAGGAACCUUAGGCUGCAGUUUGUGAAUGAAGUAGAGAGUUGGACAUUCUAUCUUUGUGAAUAAUUGAUGGAAUUUUGAUGGGGAAUUGCACUGGAACUGCAGAUCGCUUUUGUAAACUAUAGAAGCGGAUGUCUGUACCAAAGAUGAAAGAUGAGAUUUGAGCUUGAACUUCAUCAAAAUGCAGGUUACAUUGUGAAAACAAGGAAGAGCAGAUCACAGGAGGUAGACACGCAAAAAUAUGAAUCUCAAGAUCAUCCUAAGCAAGUCUAUGAACUGACUGAGUCCAUUUCAAAGGAAAGCUUUGUACAAAUUUGGCAAUUAUUCUACAGGUGAGUAACACUCUUCCUCCAAAUAUUUAAGGUUCUCCUUUCUUUAUGUAAAAGCUUAACCUUCCAUCUAUAUCUUGUUUUUCCAAUUAUAAUUGAUAGAUAAUAUGUUUCAGUACUUCUAAAUUCAAAUGUGAGUUUUUUUUUAAUUUGAUAUAUUUUCUCUAAUUCUCAAUGUCAGCAUAAAAAAAUUGAAAUUUGAAGUCAAUAUACCUAAAUUAUUCUCUGUCACUGGAAUUUAUGAAACUGGUGCUUUAGAGAAGGGGAAAUGUCAGGCUAUGAUUUAAUCAGUGGAGAUCCUUAGGAGUCAGGGUGAUUAUGGAACCUAAGAAAGAAAAAUGUCCCAGACUAUAUAACUUGGCCUGACAGCUCAAUAUCUUUAUACUAUAAUUUAUGUCCAUGUUGUCUCCAAAUAAUAACACAGCUUAUGGACAAAGAGAGAAAUUUAGAUACCCUCACAUGAUUGUGAGAAAAUUGUCAGUCAUUCAUUUUGACAUUUCUUCCUGUAUAGGAUGUUUUUCUUUAUACUGUCAUUAAUUUCCAACCAUAGCUAAGUCUUGGAGAAUGUGGUGCAUAUAAUGAGGUUUUAUAGUUUUGUGUCAGUCCAUCAGGUCUUAUGUUACAGUCCUUGAACCAUUUGCAGUCGAGUUUAAGAUGGUAAUCGAUAAAGAUAUAUUUUCAUUCUUCUAUCUACAGUUUUCCAGGUUAAUAAGAAGCAUUUAGUAUGUUUUUCAUUUUUUUUAAAUGACUGUAUCAAUAUAGGAUUAUACAUUAUUCAUCCUUUCUAUUCAACUGAUCAAUGUAAUAUAUUGUUAUGACAUUUAAGUCGUAUCAUUUUAAAGUAGUAUCAUUGUUGUGUAUGAAGACUAUCAAAUUUUCUGCGUUAAACUCUAAUCCUAUCAACUUUGUGGGUGAAACAGUAACAAGAGAUUUCUAGUUGAAAAUUAAGGAUAACAUAUAUAUAUAUAUAUAUAUGUAUAUAUAUAAAAACAUCAUAUUCAAAUGAAGAUAACUUAACAUUCCCAUCUGUAUCACAUUUUACUUCUUCAACAUUUUUCUAUCGAUAAUUCUUGCAUUCCCUAAUACUGUGAUAAGUAAUGGAAUGAAUUUGUCUUGUUCCAAAGUAUUAUCAUUAAUACAUGUCUCCACUUACUAAAAUUUUGGCUUUUGUUAUAUAUUACCUAUAUUAAGUCAAUAUAUGUUCUCUAUAUCCUUACCAGUGGUAAUAUUUCUGAAAAAAUAAUUUGACACUUGCUCAUCCAGCAGCCAUCGAUGUUAAUUUCAUAUGAUCAAACUAUUGUCUCACUUCAUGAUUGAGAGAAGACGAUGCAUUUACUCACGGUAGGAACUGGAAGCAGGCGCUUAAACAGAAGUGUUGUUGCUGCUUACCAGUUUUCUUCCUGUGGGUAGUUCAGAAUCCUUCCUAAUACACACCAGGAUCACCUAAACAGGGACUAAAUUUUUCAAAGAAGAAAAAGUAGAUGAAAGUUACCAUGUUGUGACCUGUAAUUUCACAUUGGGAUUGAUAAACGUGGAGUACUUCUCUGAGGACACUUUGGAUUACACUAAUUAGAAGGAACCCUAGUCUGCAGUUUGUGAGUAUGUAUCAAAAAGUCACCAAAAGAAGUGAGUUUAAAUGAUGAUAUAAAUGAACAAAUAACUAAUUUAUCUGAGAUGUAAGUAGAGUAAAAUAUUUUCCAGUAACUAAAUAUUACAUGUUUGAACAAAAGGACAAUACAAAUCAAAUCAAUCAAAUGACUUUUAUGCUUUUCAAACCAUUGACACAUAGGAAUGUUGCUCUAAAUAGGAUGUAUACCCAGUGUGUUAUAGUUCCUGAGUUGAAAUCCCAGUGUUUCAGUGAAAAAAUAAUUUGACUCAUCAGUGAGCUGGCAGGUUAUAUAAAAUGAACUCUAGUAAAAACAAAGUUCCAUCCUGGAGUGUAUCAGAGCAGAAUGACUUGCACAAUUUUGCUCUGACCAAUAGAAAUGUAUCCUCUGAAGACUAACUUAAUUAAAUGUUAGUACCUAAAGAUGUAUCAAUAUGGAAUCUGUAUUAGUUUUUGAUUUACUAAUUUUUGAAAAUUGAUUUUUUUCAGACCAUAUAUUCUAAUCCCUCCUUACUUUGUUCUCCCUGAUAAUUUCUACCUCUACAUUGAUCUAAUUCCUCAUGUUCUCAUCCCACCCCUUAGAAAACAUGAAAAAAACAUAACCAUACGCAAACAGAACAAUCAAAGGAAUCAUGAAAUAUAAGAAAAAACACCAGAAGCACAUAGACACAUAUUUAUACAUGCUCACAGAGAAAAGCCCAGGAAAUUAUUAAAUUGUCAGUCAUAAUGUAUCAGAAAAUUACCAGCAUGGUUAAAAUAUAGUAAAUUAUGAAUCAAAAAAUUCAAACUUACCAUUGAUUUAUAUAAGUUAGAAUGAAGCCUUUGCUUGAGUGUGGAUUCUAUUCCUAUGAAACCGUACUGGAAAAAGUAGUUUUUAUAUUGGAAAAUGUGUUAAAUGGAGAGAGCUUCUUAGUGAGGUAGAUCAUAUUCAUUUUCCACUACUUGUGGUUGGACCUCCAAUAAUUUUGACCUGCAAAACCUGUGCAGAACCUGCACAUGGUUUCCUGGUUUAUAUGAGUCGAUAUGUGUAUCAGUCCUGCUCUAUCUGGACAUCAUUACUGACUUGCUUGCAUUCCUCCAGCACCACAGUGCCUUAUAAUAUUUCUACUGUGUCUUUUACAAAUCUUUCCUGAGCCAUGAAGGAAGAGAUAGGACAGCAGUGUAUCAUUUAUGAGAGUGUGAUCCAAAGUCUUUCACUCUGUAUAUUGUGCAGACAUGGUUCUCUUUACUUAGCCCAAUCUAUUGUAUAUGCUAGCUUUUGUGAUGACAGUAGAGCAAUAUACUGAUCUAUGCAUAUAACAGAAUGUUAUUAGGAAUCAUUUUGUAGCGACAUUUCUAUAGCAGGUAAUAAUACCUACCGUAAGCCUUAAACUCCAGUAUUUAGUCAUGAGAACAAUGGUAGAAAUGUGUUCUGUCUCACUGUGUAUGUCUCAAAUCCAGUCAGAUAGUGGUUUCUUACUCCCUUGAAAGCACCACUAUUGCAGCAGCUUAUCUUAUAGGCAGCUGACUGCGGUAGAUCAAAUAGUAUAGAGGUUGGUUGGCAUUUAAGUUUCUGCUCAGUAACCAUGCAGAAUUCAUUUCAGUAUGAGCAACACAAUUCAAAAGGUAAAGGUUUUAGUUAGGCACCUGCUUGUCUUCUCUACGUUCAAAAGAAA
rnacentral:sRNA from 1 species